AAUAGCGACAGUUUCACUUCUUCCUUUCCAAUUUGGAUCCCUUUUAUUUCUUUUUCUUGCCUGAAUGCUCUGGCUAGGACUUCCAAUACUAUGUGGAUAACAGUUCUUUAUCAGAUGUGUCUUUUGAAAAUAUUUUCUCCAUGCCCAUUGAUUUCAUAAUCUCCAAUUUUGUCUUAUCACUGCCACUCUCUACUAUAAUUUUUCUUUGAAGAUAAAAAUGAGCUUUUGUUUUAGAACUAUGUUGUGCAAUAUGAUACACUAGCCACCUCUGGAUAUUUUAAUUUAAGUGACCUAAAUAAGAUUUUAAAUUCAUUUUUUCCAUUGCACUAGCUACAUUUCAAGUACCACAUUUAGCUAGUGGCUACUCUAAUGGACAGAGCAGAUAUAGAACAUUUCCAUCAUUACAGAUAGUUCAGUUGGACAGUCCUGUUCUGUAGGUUCAGGGCAUUAUAUUUUUACAGUAUAACAUGCUACGUUUUCUAUCUGCAGAUCAUAAAGUCUCUACAUAGUGCCGGAAUAAUCGGAUACUUCCGUUCUUUGGUCCUGUCAUUAAUUAAAAUUUCCACCUAAAUGGAUCACUGUGAGAAAUAGUUAAGUUAAGGAUCUGGAUUCCCCAUGUAUUUCUUGAGUCUCAAGAUCCAGUUUAGGAUAUAAAGGAAGAACAUGAGUGUUCACCAGGAAAUCAAGACUCGGUGCUCAUCCUUUUGUCUGACUGGAACAUGAUGCUCGGAAGAAGAGAGCUAUGAUUAUUUUUCUGCUUAAAAAUCAUCCAUUGUUUCCUCAAUCCUGGAAGGCAUCCGAAAGAGAAGGAAAAUCACACUGCUUACUUGAGCACACUGGGGAUGCAAGUCAUAACCUGUAGCUGCAGCGAAGCAAGAACACCAGAGAAGAAAGACAUCCAUCUGGUCAUUUGGCCAUUUGGCCAAUUUGGGAACUUUUAUGUGAAAGGAAUGAAAGACUGAGACAAACUAGAAGGAGGCGUUUUUCUUGUUCAGAGUUGGGCUAUCCUCUGAGAAAAUGGGAACAACCAUGGAUCAGCAUGCUUCUGUUAGGGUGUAACUAUCUUUCUGUGGAGGGUGGAUGUGAAGUGAAAUCACAGCUAUUGAACACCUACUCGCUAAGUAGGACAAGCAGCAUUUCCUGAUUUCAUCCUCAUAACAACCAUUCAAAUGAAGUAUUAUUAUACCUGUACAAAUGAUGGAACGGAGACUCAGCUUCCAAGGUCAUUCUGCUGGCACCCUUCCUGUUAUGAGCACCGUAAACCUGCUGUCAGUUACUGAGUUCUGGUGAUCCAGGAGAAUGUAAACAUCAUAAACAAAUGGGAAUGUUCAAAGGACAUUCUGCUAUGGCCCUUAUUUGCGUGAAUUAUGUUAACAAGUAUCUAGUGUUCAGUUUUAACGGGUUAAAAUGAUUUCUCCCGAGUUGAAGACAGG
rnacentral:lncRNA from 1 species